UAAUACUCAAGAACAUAUUCAGGAUUCCUACAGGAAAACUCAGCUUUAUUCAAACUUUUCCUAACAUGUUUGGCUACUACUGUUUUCUCUUCUUCCAAUCAAGCAAACAUUACAAUCAAGCAAAAAUUAUGGCAUGAUCUCUACUCUGUGCCUCUAGGAUUUCUCUUCACAUUCUCUGACUGAAUCUCACUCACUCUAUCACCCAGGCUGGAGUGCAGUGGAGUGGCACGAACUCAGCUCACUACAACUUCCGCCGCCCAGGUUCAAGCAUUUCUCCUGCCUCAACCUCCUGAGUAGCUGGGAUUACAGGCACCCGCCACCACACCCAGCUAAUUUUUGUAUUUUUAGUAGAGAUGGGGUUUCACCAUGUUGGCCAGACUGGUCUCGAACUCCUGACCUCAAGUGUGAAGACAAGAAUGCAGUGUAGGCACUUUUAGCACAAUGCUGUAUUCAUUUUUCUGUUCUCCAUUUAAAACAUGAGAACAACAAUCUACAAUUAAUGUAUAAAUUAUUGUGAUUAUGUCAUCCCAUACAUGUAAAAUAAUAUCCAAAAUUAAGCUUUUUAGGUAGAGGCCAGGAAUUGAAAAUUUAAGGGAACUAAAUGUCUGUACUAAAAGUGGUAAAGAUUUACAAUGAAGAAGAGAGAAAAAUAAUGGAGCAAAAGGAGGAAUCCUGACAUAGAACAAACAACAACAACAAUAAAAUUCUACAUCCUGUAUCUAUCAUUCUUCUUAAGCAGUAUUAUUAUUUAUAAUGCUACACAUAAUUUGUGCUGGUCAUUUGUUACGCUUUACUCAUAAAAGGUGAAUAUCUUCAAUA